UUCUUACUGAUAUUAUUUGUAAGUAACACCUGCUCAAUGAAUCAUUUAAUAGCCGCGGAAAUUUAACCGUGCUAAGGUAGCAUAAUCAUUAGCCUCUUAAUUAGAGGCUUGUAUGAAUGGUGAAACAUUUCAAUUACUUUAUUAAUUAAUUAUUUUAAAUUUAAAUUAAGAAUAAAAAUGUUCUUAUAUAUUAAUUAGACGAUAAGACCCUUUUGAACUUUACUUUUGUUUAGCUGGGGCAGCUAAUAAAAUAAAAUUUUCAUUUCUUUAUAUAAAUAAAUGAUCCAAUAAAAUUGAUUAAAUGAACAAGUUACCAUAGGGAUAACAGCGUAAUAUUUUUUAAAAGCUCUUAUUUAAAUAAAUGAUUGCGACCUCGAUGUUGAAUUAGUGUAACUUACAGAUGCAAUAAUUUUAAAAGUAGGUCUGUUCGACCUUUAAAACACUACAU
rnacentral:rRNA from 1 species